UACGAAGGGGGCUAGCGUUGCUCGGAAUCACUGGGCGUAAAGCGCACGUAGGCGGCUUCUCAAGUCAGGGGUGAAAUCCUGGAGCUCAACUCCAGAACUGCCUUUGAUACUGAGGAGCUCGAGUCCGGGAGAGGUGAGUGGAACUGCGAGUGUAGAGGUGAAAUUCGUAGAUAUUCGCAAGAACACCAGUGGCGAAGGCGGACUCACUGGCCCGGUACUGACGCUGAGGUGCGAAAGCGUG
rnacentral:rRNA from 1 species